GGGCCCGCACAAGCAGUGGAGUAUGUGGUUUAAUUCGAAGCAACGCGAAGAACCUUACCAGGGCUUGACAUCCCCUUGACAGGCAUAGAGAUAUGCUUUCUCUUCGGAGCAAGGGAGACAGGUGGUGCAUGGUUGUCGUCAGCUCGUGUCGUGAGAUGUUGGGUUAAGUCCCGCAACGAGCGCAACCCCUGUUGUUAGUUGCCAGCAUUGAGUUGGGCACUCUAACGAGACUGCCGGUGAUAAAUCGGAGGAAGGUGGGGACGACGUCAAAUCAUCAUGCCCCUUAUGUCCUGGGCUACACACGUACUACAAUGGCGAUAACAGAGGGAGGCAAGACAGCGAUGUGGAGCAAAUCCCCAAAAGUCGCCCCAGUUCAGAUUGCAGGCUGCAACCCGCCUGCAUGAAGCCGGAAUUGCUAGUAAUGGCAGGUCAGCAUACUGCCGUGAAUACGUUCCCGGGCCUU
rnacentral:rRNA from 1 species